AAACACGGACCAAGGAGUCUAACAUGUGCGCGAGUCAUUGGGUUGACACUAAACCUAAAGGCGCAAUGAAAGUGAAGGUCCCGCCUUGUGCGGACCGAGGGAAGAUGGGCCGCGCUGCUGCGCGGCUCCGCAUUCCCGGGGCGUCUCGUUCUCACUGCGAGUUGAGGCGCACCCAGAGCGUACACGUUGGGACCCGAAAGAUGGUGAACUAUGCCUGGCCAGGACGAAGUCAGGGGAAACCCUGAUGGAGGUCCGUAGCGAUUCUGACGUGCAAAUCGAUCGUCGGAGCUGGGUAUAGGGC
rnacentral:rRNA from 1 species